CUAGCUGUAAACGAUGGACACUAGGCGUUGAGAGUAUCGACCCUCUCAGUGUCGUAGCUAACGCGUUAAGUAUCCCGCCUGGGGAGUACGCGCGCAAGCGUGAAACUCAAAGGAAUUGACGGGGGCCCGCACAAGCGGUGGAGUAUGUGGUUUAAUUCGAUGCAACGCGAAGAACCUUACCAGGGCUUGACAUGUCCGGAACCCUGCCCAAAGGCGGGGGUGCCUACGGGAACCGGAACACAGGUGGUGC
rnacentral:rRNA from 1 species